rnacentral:lncRNA from 1 species
UAUAGUUAAAAAAAAAUAAUUUUCCCAAAUGGGUUAAAGUUGAAUGAAUUGCCAUCUUGAUGUUAUGAUAUUGCAAUUUUAACUUAGUAUUAAGUAUUCUAUAAGUCUGCAUUUUUACCCUCUUUAAUUGUUGUCUCUGUCAAACUCAACACACUGCUUCUCUGUUGUGUGUGUUUAGGGAGGUGGGUGGAAAGAGUUUCCUGAAAGAUAAGCUAAAAUUGUCUUCUUUUAUGGGAUGAUCGUACUCUGUGUAGUUCCUUGGUUUCCUGGAGGGAGGCAGGGGAGAUUCUGAGUACAGAUACUAGAACAAAUAGUUUUUGCCUUCCUGGUUUUUUUGUUUAUAGAGAAAGCCUUGUUGUAGAUGUAGAUGGGAAAUAAGCUCCUCUCCAUUGGAGUGAAGUAUGUUUUUAAAACUAAUUAGAGAUGAAAUUGAGGUUUAUUUUAAAAAGUAAAAUCAAAAGUCAUAAUUGGAGAGUUGGACUCUUUGAUUUUCCGCCCUAUAUUAAUGAUAUAAAGUCCAGAUAGAAACCUCUUCUCCAGAGUUGCCAGAUAAUUAUUGGUGAGGUACAACCACU